UACGAAGGGGCGAGCGUUGUUCGGAAUCACUGGGCGUAAAGGCGCGUAGGCGGCCCUUCUUGUCGCGUGUGAAAGCCCCGGGCUCAACCUGGGAACGGCGCGCGAGACGGGGGGGCUGGAGUUCGGGAGAGGAGCGUGGAAUUCCCAGUGUGAGAGGUGAAAUUCGUAGAUAUUGGGAAGAACAGCCGGUGGCGAAGGCGGCGCUCUGGACCGGACUGACGCUGAGGCGCGAAGCGUGGGAGCAAACAGG
rnacentral:rRNA from 1 species